AUUGAACGCUGGCGGCAGGCCUAACACAUGCAAGUCGAGCGGAGCGGCGGACGGGUGAGUAAUGCCUAGGAAUCUGCCUGGCAGUUGGGGAUAACGUCCGGAAACGGGCGCUAAUACCGCAUACUUUCUGCUGAGCCUAGGUCGGAUUAGCUCGUUGGUGGGGUAAAGGCCUACCAGGGCGACGAUCCGUAACUGGUCUGCGAGGAUGAUAAGUCACACGGGAACUAGGACAGGGUCCAGACUCCUACGGGAGGCAGCAGUGGGGAAUAUUGGACAAGGGGCGAAAGCCUGAUCCAGCCAUGCCGCGUGUGUGAAGAAGGGCUUCGGAUUGUAAAGCACGUGAAGUAGGGAGGCGUUACCAACAGAAUAAGCACCGGCUAACUACGUGCCAGCAGCCGCGGUAAUUC
rnacentral:rRNA from 1 species